rnacentral:tRNA from 1 species
GCCUGGGUGGCUCAGUCGGUUAAGCGUCCGACUUUGGCUCAGGUCAUGAUCUCAUGGUUCGUGGGUUCAAGCCCCACAUCAGGCU